AGGAAGAAAGGAAGAAAGGAAGGAAGGAAGGAAGGGAGGAAGGAAGGGAGGGAGGGAAGGAAGGAGGGAGGGAGAGAGGAAAAAAUGAUUAAAACACAAAACAGUCACAAACCAGCAGUGACAAAUACAUGAAGUAACUUAGUACUACUCUUAAGCCCAUCCAGAGAUGGAUGCUUAAGACAUCAAAACAAAGUAUUUUGCAGGAUGACUCAAAGGCUGUUUCCCCUUCAGUAGAAUCUUCAAGUUCUAUGACUUCUAGCAAACUGCCAGGUCUGGGCUCUUCCUUCUGUUGGUGAUUGCAUUCUCCUCCUUGUAACAGCUAUAGGGGCACCUCUUCGAGUGUAGCUACCUCUGCCUGAGUGAUCUAAUAGCUUGCAACCUUUUGAACUCACAUGGUUGUCUCCAAGGCUAGAAACACCCAUCUCAGGAUUCCUGUUUAGUCACCUUUGCUCCAAGAAAGAUACACAAAGCAGAAGGGCCAGAUCUAAGCCCUCCUAGCCAGACCCCUGCUCUGGCUGUCACAUGUGAACAGUGAACAUUUGCAUCCUGCCCAUCAAGGGGUGUCUGUGUGUGUGUGUGUGUGUGUGUGUGUCUGUGUGUCUGUGUGUCUGUGUGUGUAAGAGAUAGUGAGAUAGAGAAAGAGACACACAGAAAUGCAGAGAGAGAGACAGGAAGAAGGAGAGAGAAACAGAGGCAGAAAGACUGACAAAGAGAGAGGGAGAGACAGAGACAGAGCGAGACGGCAAGACACAGACAGACAGAGACAGAACAAAGAAAAAAGGAAGAAAGAGGGAGAGCUAAAUCAGCUCCCCUUUUAUAAUCCUGCGAGCUUGCUCAAAUCUCUCCCCCACCUCCAUCACUAAGAGGGGCCAAUUACAGUAGGUUGAAAUAUAGUUAACAAAACAUGUAUUUGCUUUUGUUUAGAAAACCCUUCCCUUCAGUUUUAGAGUCAGUACUGUGUAUUGGCUCCAAGGUAGAGGAGCGGGGAGGGCUAGGCAAUGGGGGUCAAGGGACUUGCCCAGGGUCACCCAGUGAGGAAGUGUCUGAAGCCAGAUUGGACCCCAGCACCUCCUGUCUUGAGACCCGGGUCCCCAGCCACUAAACCACCCAGCUGCCCCCCAAAAUAUCUUUUAAAGUUCAUGGUCCCUGGCGUAAGGAUCACUGUUCUGGAGGAAGGGCCUCUGAUCUCAGGAAGAAGGGAUGGGUAAGGGAAAAGUGAAGAUUACUAUGAAGAGCGAAUCAAACUUUCUUUGUCCAUCAAUCGGCAACUUUUAAAUUGAUCAGUCAAAAAGAAGAUGCCAGAACUGGGAAAUGUUAGUUAGCCAUGGGGCCAUUCAGCAGAAUGAGAAUAGAGGCGUUUCUAUGGCACUUUAGGGUUGCAAAGUUCCCUUUGCAUAGGCUGUCCCCUUUGGCACUCACAACAACGUCGGAGGGAGGGACUAUGAUUAUCCUCAUUUUAAAGGUGAGGAAACUGAGGCUGAGAGCCCAUAAUGGAUUUAUUUGCCUAGGAUUGCAUAGCUAAGUGCCUGAGGCCAGCGCCCUCUCUAGGGCGCCCCCUGGCUGCGGACUUCUCGGUCCUGAGUCUAGUGGAAAUUCCUCCUUUGGGCUCUGUGUUCUAGAACCAGAUUCCGCUCUAUUCCAGAAGGCCGAGGGGAAGCCCGGCGGUUUUGAAAUAACCCCGUCUGAGGAGGCUCGGUUUCUUAAAGUCAUCUGACGGCCAGCUGAGAAGAGGAGGGCAGGAAGCCGCCUGCCAGACGGGGCUGCUUCUCAGGCCGUCUCCCCGUCCUCUGUCCCUGCCUCCCUCUUCCUCAGGCCUCUCCUGGGCUAAGCGUCAGCUCUAGCGGGAGCCGAGGAGUGAUGAGGAUGAUCAGCAUGGAUUCUCCGUUCUUCCUUCUUAAGGAGCCUCCUCUCCAACCUAGACCAAUGGCACGGAUGACUCUGACGGUGAUGCUUGCCAGUAGCUCACAGCCUCCAAACUGCCUCUCCUUCUCUGGGAUAAACAUCCGUGCUUAGACUGUCAAUCGAUUGGACAAUUGGAUGGAGAGAAAUCACAAAUUCUCUCUCUUCUUUCUUCUCUGAGUUCCUCCACACCCCACUGGCCCUAUUGGAUGCUAUUUAGCCCACGCAACUGGACGUGCCCCUUUCUCCCUUCCCUCUCCGGUGGGGAGCGUGGAUGCAGGAGGCAGGAGGAUUUCCCCUUUGCCCAGCAUCCUUGGGCCAUUGCCAAAGAUUUGGUGGACUUUUAUUUUGUUUAAAUGCCACAUGGUUCAUUUUGGUUUGGAAACAUCCCCCAUCCCUCAACCCACCUCAAGUCAAAGGAAAGUCUGGAAUUCCAUCUGGACUCACAGAAGGAGCCACUUCUGGGACACACAGACUCUGAGCUCUGGUCCCCCUCUGGCCAUCUAGUUCCAAGCACUUCGGCUGGGCUACAAAUAAGCAUUCCCACACAGAGACUCACAGAUGUUUUAGAGUUGGGUGUGACCAGGACAGUGACCAGUGAUGGGAUGGGAGGAUUUGAUCCUGUCCUCUGCUACCCAACGCCCCUCCCCCAAGCCUUCUGCUUUGUUUCCUGCUGUUUGCCCUCAGCUCUGCCUCAUGAGCAUCCCCCGUAUCCCUGAGGGGUUGGGAAGCUGGGACCUCAGCUCCUUUGCCCACAGGGGUGGGGGUGGUUGGGAAAGGGCAUUGCCUCACUUUCUUAUAGACAAACUGAGACACAUGAAAUGCCUCCCAGGAUCUUCUUGUGGCCAAUAAGAGAGGAGCAAAAGGAUUAUUUUUCUUUUGGGGGAAGUAGGGGUGGGAUGGGAGGAAAGGCAGGGGGCUCAUUCAUUCCAGAAUGAAUCAAAGGACCGACUAAAUGCUUGACUUGGGGAGGAAAAAAUGCAAGGGAAAUGGACUAGCCUGGAGAUUGGGGCUAGUCUGAAGAAUGGGGCUAGCCUGGAGAAUGGGGCUAGCCUGGAGAUUGGGGCUAGUCUGAAGAAUGGGGCUAGCCUGGAGAAUAGGGCUAACCUGGAGAAUAGGGCUAGCCUAGUCUGGAGAAUUGGGCUAGCCUGGAGAAUGGAGCUAGUCUGAAGAAUGGGGCUAGCCUGGAGAAUGGGGCUAGCCUAGUCUGGAGAAUUGGGCUAGCCUGGAGAAUGGAGCUAGUCUGAAGAAUGGGGCUAGCCUGGAGAAUGGGGCUAGCCUAGUCUGGAGAAUGGGGCUAGCCUGGAGAUUGGGGCUAGUCUGAAGACUGGGGUCAGUCUGGAGAUUGGGGCUAGCCUGGAAAAUGGGGCUAGUCUGAAGAAUGGGGCUAGCCUGGAGAAUGAGGCUAGCCUGGGGAGAAGCCCUUAUGGCUUUUCCUGAACCUCCUCCUGCUCUAAUGGCCAAAGCAUCUUAUUUCUGUGCUUUACUGUUCGCUUCAAAUUGAAGUAAAAACAAACAAGCAAACCCUGGAGAAACA